GACUAUUUCUUCUAUAAUCCUGGUCUUAAUAAUUUUUUUAAUUUUAAGAGGAAAGUCAACGGUCACAUGAAGGCAGGUGUCCCAAGGUGGGACGGUCAUCAAUGGAGGAGAGAAAUGUAAACGGAAAGCUCAGCUUGGGAAGUGGAAAAAGAAAUUUCAAUGAUGGUUAUUAAAAGCGCGUCUUUGGAAAAGCUGAAAUGGUGAAAACGCAGACGAAAA
rnacentral:lncRNA from 1 species